UGGGGAAUUUUGGACAAUGGGCGAAAGCCUGAUCCAGCAAUGCCGCGUGUGUGAAGAAGGCCUUCGGGUUGUAAAGCACUUUUGUCCGGAAAGAAAUGGCUCUGGUUAAUACCUGGGGUCGAUGACGGUACCGGAAGAAUAAGGACCGGCUAACUACGUGCCAGCAGCCGCGGUAAUACGUAGGGUCCAAGCGUUAAUCGGAAUUACUGGGCGUAAAGCGUGCGCAGGCGGUUGUGCAAGACCGAUGUGAAAUCCCCGAGCUUAACUUGGGAAUUGCAUUGGUGACUGCACGGCUAGAGUGUGUCAGAAGGAAGUAGAAUACCACGUGUAGCAGUGAAAUGCGUAGAGAUGUGGAGGAAUACCGAUGGCGAAGGCAGCCCCCUGGGAUAACACUGACGCUGAUGCACGAAAGCGUGGGGAGCAAACAGG
rnacentral:rRNA from 1 species